AACGAACGCUGGCGGCAUGCCUAACACAUGCAAGUCGAACGAGUCCUUCGGGUCUAGUGGCGCACGGGUGCGUAACUCGUUGGAACCUGCCCUUAGGUUCGGAAUAACUCCCCGAAAGGGGUGCUAAUACCGGAUAAUGUCUUCGGACCAAAGAUUUAUCGCCUUUGGAUGGGCCCGCGUUGGAUUAGCUAGUUGGUAGGGUAAAAGCCUACCAAGGCGACGAUCCAUAGCUGGUCUGAGAGGAUGAUCAGCCACACUGGGACUGAGACACGGCCCAGACUCCUACGGGAGGCAGCAGUGGGGAAUAUUGGACAAUGGGCAAAAGCCUGAGCCAGCAAUGCCGCGUGAGUGAUGAAGGACUUAGGGUUGUAAAGCUCUUUUAACCGGGAUGAUAAUGACAGUACCGGGCGAAUAAGCUCCGGCUAACUCCGUG
rnacentral:rRNA from 1 species